UACAGAGGUCUCGAGCGUUGUUCGGAUUCAUUGGGCGUAAAGGGUGCGUAGGCGGCGCGGUAAGUCGGGUGUGAAAUCUCGGAGCUUAACUCCGAAACUGCAUUCGAUACUGCCGUGCUAGAGGACUGGAGAGGAGACUGGAAUUUACGGUGUAGCGGUGAAAUGCGUAGAUAUCGUAAGGAAGACCAGUGGCGAAGGCGGGUCUCUGGACAGUUCCUGACGCUGAGGCACGGAGGCCAGGGGAGCAAACGGG
rnacentral:rRNA from 1 species